rfam:Bosea sp. Root483D1 contig_6, whole genome shotgun sequence.
ACCCAAUUCGCACGUGCCUGUGGCCGCGUGUCAGUCGGUGGGCAUCCGGACAAGAGGCCGGACAGCCGCCCAGGUGUUGGAGACGGAUGGAGGGGGAUGGAUAUCCCCUCAAAUCACGCUCCCGGUUUCCUCCCAAGGGAAACUGUCAUCGAACAGCGACUGGCAGCCGGAGGCGAAACCGGCGAACCCCGAAUCUCCACGGGGGACGCAGCUUAAAGCAACGACGGAACGGGCUUUU